CCAUCCAGGUGCCCCUGAAUUUUGUUUUUAAACACAACGUUGUGAGGAGAAGAGCCUGAAAAUAAAGCCAUGGCAAAGGAGAUGGAGACCGACCUCACUGGAACACCUGGACCCCACCAUCCCUGAAGCCGUUCUUGACAAAAAAAUUCAAGGUUAAUGCACAGGGUUAAUGAGGAAAUGGAGCAUUGAACACUCUCAGAUGUUGCUGGUGAAAUGCAAGUUGGAACAGUCCCAGCGAAGGACUUUUGGCCAGAUCUAUUAAAAAGUCUGUUCCUGGGGCACCUGGGUGGCUCAGGUGGUUGGGCGUCUGCCUUCGGCUCGGGUCGUGAUCCCAGAGUCCUGGGAUCGAGCCCCACAUUGGGCUCCCUGCUCAGCGGGG